rnacentral:misc_RNA from 1 species
UUAAAGUCAUUCGACUGCGCUGAUCAGACAUAGUACUGCUUUGCAGGUAGAGUUUCCGGGGUGCCGUCGGCGGGCCGACCACCCCCGGCCGGAGAACCUGCCGGGGGGUGCCGCCGAAGCAACAGGGGUUUUUCACAAAGGGUCUACCGUAGGCGCGGGGCCCCGGGGGGCCGCCGCGCUUCCAGCGGGCCUUGCGGCCGUUUUACUUGGUAAUGAUCCUUCCGCAGGUUCACCUACGGAAA